UUAAUGAGAAAGCUGUGCAUGAAAUGAUGCACAUAACUAUGCAAUGUUGGGUUGUAUUGGAGAGAGUCUCAGUCUUAAAUCAUUUUCCACAUCCUCAUUUUCCACAGUCUGUGCCUGUAUUUCGUUUUCAUGCUAGUGAGGGCCGAGAAUCCGUCAGUGUCUUAACAUAUGUCUCGGUCUAUGGGUUUACAUAUGACACAGCAUCUAUAUCCCUGAGGAUGUAGGAUAUCAGACAGUGAAUACUGUCUAUAGGUUUACAUAUGACACAGCAUCUAUAUCCCUGAGGAUGUAGGAUAUCAGACAGUGAAUACUGUCUAUAGGUUUACAUAUGACACAGCAUCUAUAUCCCUGAGGAUGUAGGAUAUCAGACAGUGAAUACUGUCUAUAGGUUUACAUAUGACACAGCAUCUAUAUCCCUGAGGAUGUAGGAUAUCAGACAGUGAAUACUGUCUAUAGGUUUACAUAUGACACAGCAUCUAUAUCCCUGAGGAUGUAGGAUAUCAGACAGUGAAUACUGUCUAUAGGUUUACAUAUGACACAGCAUCUAUAUCCCUGAGGAUGUAGGAUAUCAGACAGUGAAUACUGUCUAUAGGUUUACAUAUGACACAGCAUCUAUAUCCCUGAGGAUGUAGGAUAUCAGACAGUGAAUACUGUCUAUAGGUUUACAUAUGACACAGCAUCUAUAUCCCUGAGGAUGUAGGAUAUCAGACAGUGAAUACUGUCUAUAGGUUUACAUAUGACACAGCAUCUAUAUCCCUGAGGAUGUAGGAUAUCAGACAGUGAAUACUGUCUAUAGGUUUACAUAUGACACAGCAUCUAUAUCCCUGAGGAUGUAGGAUAUCAGACAGUGAAUACUGUCUAUAGGUUUACAUAUGACACAGCAUCUAUAUGUUAUAUCCCUGAGGAUGUAGGAUAUCAGACAGUGAAUACUGUCUAUAGGUUUACAUAUGACACAGCAUCUAUAUCCCUGAGGAUGUAGGAUAUCAGACAGUGAAUACUGUCUAUAGGUUUACAUAUGACACAGCAUCUAGGUGCUAUAUCCCUGAGGAUGCAGGAUAUCAGACAGUGAUCAGAUUUUCCUGCACUUUCCAAUGAAACGCACGUUCUGUUAAAGUCACAGCCGUGAUUUAACCAGUUUUAUAAACGUCUGAGUGUUUUCUAUCCACACAUACUAAUCAUAUCCAUAUACUAUAUUCCUGGCAUGAGUAGCAGGGCGCUGAAAUGUUGCGCGAUUUUUAACAGAAUGUUCGAAAAAGUAGAGGGUAGACUGAAGAGGUUAACGUAUAAAAUGUUAAUAUUAUUUAAAGUUAAUAUUAUCUAACGUUAUUAUUAUCGAACGUCUGUAGGUUCUCCAACAUUUACUCCUCAGAGGGAUAAACGAUCUGGAACAGACCUCGUUAGAUGUUGGUUCUCUGGAGCAAAUCGCAUGCAGCCGAACCCCGUCACAUUAUUGUAGUACAAUAAUCCAGACACAAGAUUAUUUAUACAUUAAAAACAGAAAUGUGUGCACCUUAUAUUAAAAGUUAUUUUAUGUGUUUACAGCUGACAUACAGCCAAGAAGGAUAACAGGCUCCAUAUGGACCCUGAACGGCUUCGGAAGAGCAGACGACACAUCUGAGGACACAUCUGAGGACACAUCUGAGGACACAUCAGAGGACACAUCAGAGGACACAUCAGAGGACACAUCUGAGGACACAUCAGAGGACACAUCUGAGGACACAUCUGAGGACACAUCUGAGGACACAUCUGAGGACACAGAGGACACAUCUGAGGACACAUCUGAGGACACAGAUGCAAUUCUACCUUUCUGUACGAAUGUUUUUUCAAACACAUCGAGAACAGAGGAUUUAAACGGCUGGUCAACUCCCCCGUGAGCAUCCACCAGCUCGCACCAUAUUCCUAACCCCAGCAAACGUACAAUUAGGGCACAAUGUUACGGGAUUCUUCCGUCGAAGGAGAGGAGGACCAAAAUGCAGCGUGGUUGUGGUUGAACAUCUUUAAUAAAGAUGAUAACGUGAACAAUAUACAAAACAAGAAACAGUGGAAAAACCUAAACAGUCCUAACUGGUGCAAAACACAGAGACAGGAAACAAUCACCCAAGAAAUACCCGAAGAAUAUGGCUGCCUAAAUAUGGUUCCCAAUCAGAGACAACGAUAAACACCUGCCUCUGAUU